rnacentral:lncRNA from 10 species
AGAUUCACGUGGAGCAAGGGGCUCAUGCAGAAGCAGUUCCCGGACCCGACACUCUGGGUAGGAGACCACUAAACCCGGCCCCUCAAAGCAGAGGUGACCUUGCCCUCAUCGAGAGCGCACACAAGACGCCACUGUAAAAGGUCCAAGCGGCUGCCCUGGGGCUUGACAUUGAAGGCGGCGCCCACGGGAGACCAGCUGGUGCUGACCCUUCGGGCCCGGAUCCCGGCUUCGAGGCUUCCCCGGCCCGCCCGGCGGGGCGGCAGAGCUGCUGCUCUGGCUCCCAAGCCGCCCAGCCUUCCGACGCACAGCAUUCUAGCACCAGAGCAGUCCCUUCCUCCAACGCAGAUCCCUGCCCUGCUGCUUUCGCUGGGAGCGCGCGCUCCGCGUUUCCAAGGCAGCAGCCCACGCCGCCCCACGUGACGGCCCCGCUUCCGGGUCUGGGCGCGGCCUCAGGACGUGGGCACGUUGUCGUCCAGAGAGCAAGAGCGUCGCUCCCCCUCGCCUUCUCGGCCGCCCUCCCGGUUUACCGCCCCCUGUGUCCAGAGAUCACAGAUGGAGAGACAUUUUGCCACACGAUGAAUCACACACCACAUCUCAUCCCCGAGCUUCAGCUGCAGGACAAUGCUGCCAGAGGCCUGGUCCUCAGAGCUCACGAUCUUAUCAAAUUUAAUGGGCACAUCUGAAGAAGGAAACUUGCUCAGCACCGUGAGCCCCACAGUGAAAGCACUUUUUGGCAAGACUAGAGUCUCACCGAUUUUCCCUUUCUCUCCUCGAUCUCCUUUCCAGCCUCUUAUUCCCCGGACUCCUGGCUCACCCUGGGGCCCCGUGGGUCCAGCUUCUCCCUUGGGACCAGGCUUUCCAAUAGGGCCCAUGGGGCCCGGUAAACCAGUUGGGCCCAAAGGCCCAAUGUUGCCCCUUGGCCCCUCAGGACCAGUGGGACCCACGUCACCCUUAUUCCCCUUCUGCCCCUGAGGCCCAGUCUCUCCUCGGAGGCCUUUCUCUCCCAUGGGCCCUGCAAGCCCCUUGGGGCCAUGUUUUCCUGGGGAUCCUCUUGAGCCUUGAUCACCUUUGAUGCCUUUUGCUUCAACUUUUCCAUCUGCUCCUAAAUAGAGAAAGAGCAA